GUUCACAACACAAUGAAUGAAUUCCUAAAACACUCUCAAUGCUGGAGAGCGUUUGAUGCUGAAGCAGUGACCAGUUUUUCUGUUUCUUCUCUGGAGAUGCACAAUGAGGGACGUCUGCAGAGACUGAGAAAGAGUCUCACCACAUCCUGACAUGAGGAAAAAGACUUUAUUGAAGACUACAAUGAGAAAAACUAUCAGACAGCAGACGGCUGCAUUCAAGGCUACAGGAGGAGCCCUACGAGGACGAGAAGGUCCACCUGAUGGCGGCCAGUCGCUGUGUUCAAAGCCAACACCGACUACAUGGACUUCUACUGGACCACAUGGAGGCCUUCAAACCGGACCAACAAGUUCACCGACUCCCCGACUCGUGGGUCUGAGGACGCCGCCG
ensembl:lncRNA